rnacentral:rRNA from 1 species
UACGAAGGGGGCUAGCGUCGUUCGGAAUCACUGGGCGUAAAGCGCACGCAGGCGGAUCGUUAAGUCAGGGGUGAAAUCCCGAGGCUCAACCUCGGAACUGCCUUUGAUACUGGCGAUCUUUGAGUCCGGGAGAGGUGAGUGGAACUCCGAGUGUAGAGGUGAAAUUCGUAGAUAUUCGGAAGAACACCAGUGGCGAAGGCGGCUCACUGGCCCGGUACUGACGCUCAUGUGCGAAAGCGUGGGGAGCAAACAGG